rnacentral:rRNA from 1 species
UGGGGAAUAUUGCACAAUGGGCGCAAGCCUGAUGCAGCAAUGCCGCGUGAGUGAAGACGGCCUUAGGGUUGUAAAACUCUUUCGCUAGGGAAGAUAAUGACGGUACCUAGUAAAGAAGUCCCGGCUAACUCCGUGCCAGCAGCCGCGGUAAUACGGAGGGGACUAGCGUUGUUCGGAAUUACUGGGCGUAAAGAGUUCGUAGGCGGACUAGCAAGUUAGAGGUGAAAUCCCAGGGCUCAACCUUGGAACUGCCUUUAAAACUGCUAGUCUAGAGACCGGAAGAGGUUAGGGGAAUACCUAGUGUAGAGGUGAAAUUCGUAGAUAUUAGGUGGAACACCAGUGGCGAAGGCGCCUAACUGGUCCGGUACUGACGCUGAGGAACGAAAGCGUGGGGAGCAAACAGGAUUAGAUACCCUGGUAGUCCACGCCGUAAACGAUGAGUGCUAGAUGUUGGGAUUUUCGGAUUUCAGUGUCGCAGCUAACGCGAUAAGUUGACCGCCUGGGGAGUACGGCCGCAGG